GGCGUUGUGGCGGAAUGGUAGACGCGCCGGAUUCAAAAUCCGGUGAGGGUAACCUCGUGAGAGUUCGAGUCUCUCCAGCGCUACCA
rnacentral:tRNA from 1 species